rnacentral:rRNA from 1 species
AUUGAACGCUGUCGGCAGGCCUAACACAUGCAAGUCGAACGAGUGGCAGACGGGUGAGUAAUGUCUGGGAAACUGCCCGAUGGCGGGGGAUAACUACUGGAAACGGUAGCUAAUACCGCAUACCAUCGGAUGUGCCCAGAUGGGAUUAGCUAGUCGGUGGGGUAACGGCUCACCUAGGCGACGAUCCCUAGCUGGUCUGAGAGGAUGACAGGCCACACUGGAUCUGAGACGCGGUCCAGAAUCCGACGGUAGGCAGCAGUGGGGAAUAUUGCACAAUGGGGGAAAGCCGGGUGCAGCCAUGCGGCGUGUAUGAAGAAGGCCUGCGGGUUGUAAAGUACGUUCAGCGGGGAGGCGUUACUCGCAGAAGAAGCACCGGCUAACUCCGUGCCAGCAGCCGCGGUAAUAC